rnacentral:rRNA from 1 species
GUGAGGAAUAUUGGACAAUGGGCGAGAGCCUGAACCAGCCAAGUCGCGUGAAGGAAGAAGGAUCUAUGGUUCGUAAACUUCUUUUGCAGGGGAAUAAAGUGCGGGACGUGUCCUGUUUUGUAUGUACCCUGAGAAUAAGGAUCGGCUAACUCCGUGCCAGCAGCCGCGGUAAUACGGAGGAUCCGAGCGUUAUCCGGAUUUAUUGGGUUUAAAGGGUGCGUAGGUGGUUUGAUAAGUCAGCGGUGAAAGUUUGCAGCUUAACUGUAAAAAUGCCGUUGAAACUGUCGGACUUGAGUGUAAAUGAGGUAGGCGGAAUGCGUGGUGUAGCGGUGAAAUGCAUAGAUAUCACGCAGAACUCCGAUUGCGAAGGCAGCUUACUAAGCUACAACUGACACUGAAGCACGAAAGCGUGGGGAUCAAACAGGAUUAGAUACCCCAGUAGUCC